AAGUGAUGUUUUCGUAAUGUACUUUGUACGACCUUUCGUUUGAUAUACGACAAGCACACCUUCUGAAACUUUUCGCUUUUUACACUUAAUGACCUCAUCCGUCUACAUUUUUGAGAUCGGAAUUAUGAUAUAUGGAACAGAGUAGAUGAGCUUUCGUUUGAUAUGCGACAACACCAUGUUCUUGAAAGUUUGAUUUUUGCACUUAAUAACCCUAUCCAACAAAUUUUUGGAGGUCGGGAAUUUGAUAUUUCAAAUGUACACAUCAUGACCUUUCAUUUGAUAUACAACAACCCUACCUUAAAAGAAACAUUUAUUUUUUGCACUCAAUGACCCCAUCCAACCCAUUUUUGGGAGACGUCAAUUUGAAAUUUGAAAUGUACGCUUUAUGUUCUUUCAUUUGAUAUGCGACAACCUUACCAUCUGAGAAAUUUGAAUGUUUGCACUAAAUGACCCCACCCGUCCCCCUGGGAUGAAAAGGGGGUUUAAAAUUUUCAUUUUUAAGUAGAGUUUAUUAAGACCUUCAAUUUGAUAUAUCAGAUGACCCCAUUUGACAAAGUGCAAAUAAUGAUGCAAUAUCAAUUAUAUAAAUAGAAGUUAUGAAACUUACAAAGUCAAUGCAAAACUUGAAAAUUUCAAAUUGAUUUUUGGUGUUUUUUUCCAUGGAAUGUUUUUGGUAUUUGG
rnacentral:lncRNA from 1 species